rnacentral:misc_RNA from 1 species
GUUACACAGUAGUUUAAAACUUUCAAAUGAGAUCUACACGCUGAGGUUAAAAAAAAAUCAUCAAGAAUAUGCAGUGUUCAACAAGGUAAAACACAGAAUGUGAUUACAAAUUUGAAAGACUCUGGACAGAAAGGCUCCGGCAGUAUUCUCCACUAAACUCCUGCAUGUUUGUGCAGGCAACCGAUAGCUGGAAGAAGCAAUUUAUCAAAAUUUGUGCAACUUAACAAAAAUCAUCAUACCAUUAAAUAAAAAUGAACAUCGCAAGUUCCGUUUAAAGAAUACAACCAAAUCACCCUAACAACAAAGGAUACAAAAAUACUCCCAAGCAAUCCUUUUGGCUGGUUUGUACAAAAACAAAUGGCCAGGCUCAUGUUAGAAUAGAACAUAGAACUACUUCAUCUUGCCACCCCUUCACUCCUAUCCAGGAGGACCAAAAUUGGGAUUGCUGCAAGUUGUCCGAGAGAUUCGAAACCAAAUUUUCCAAAUGAUUAGCAUCCAAGAUUUGCAGGAAAUACAGAUGCACAGUUUUACAAGAAAACUGUACUCAUUAGCAAAGCACCUAUAAUCACAGAGGUUGUGAAAGAACCGAUAUUAUGGAGAUGUAGUGGAGGGCUGUCAGAACUUGUUGAAUUGGAAGAUGGGGCAAGCGAUGUGGUAUUCGUCAAGGUGCCAUUUCUUCCAGCACUACACUCAAAAUAGAAGCAGAGAGAAGAAGCUUCAGCAAAAUAUGCCGGGAAAUCAUGACUUUGAAGCAGAGUUUGAAAUUCAGAAAUAAAACAAUAAUGAGAUAUUGAGAUGGUGGAUGAGAAGAGAUGUAAGACAUUCUUGAUCAGAAAGGUUAGAUUUAAAAGCUUGGAUUAAUACCUUCCAGGAAAUUUACAAGAACCAUAACCUGCAUCAGUAAAACAGUAUUAGUGAUUCUAUAGGAAGCAAGUAAAGCCAGCAAACAAUAAGCAAAUGCAGACUAAAAACUUCCUCUGCUGCAAAUGUCUUACAAAAAAAUCCAUCUAGCAGUCAGGUUCUCCAAAAACUUGUUUGGCAGAAGGAACUAAAUGUUUUUACUUGGCAGAAAAAAGCCACCAACUCUAUAGAUCAUUUCAACAAGGAGUUUGCCCCCCAUAGUGACAGGCCACUCAUGGUUAGAUUUUCUCCACUGCCUUUCAGUUAGAUGUGUAAAGGUUUUAAUGUUCAUACAUCAAUUACCAAGUCUGUUCUGUUCUAUAGUUGCACUUCUCUUGAAGGAAAUAUAAACUCUUACUUGGGUCAGUGGUAGUUAUUGUAGCCACCCCUUUAAAAUCACAGGUCCCUGGAGACUUGCCCAUCUCCUGGAAAUAGGCAUUAAAGGCAUAUGUUGAAUGUGCAACCACAUUGUUUGGCUCAUAACAUGGUUGACCUUGCAAUAAAGGUGAGCAAUCAACUUUUCCUGGUCCACAAGCCCAAUCCAAUGCUGCCUGUAGCAUCUUUGGAUCAGCACCUUCCUUUGCAGCACAGUAAGUUUGGUUUGUUGUGUCGUUGGCCAGCACUAAUCCUGACCCAGUCAGGUGCAAUAUGUAAACAGGCUCUCCAUUUGCAUUAAAUAAUCCCCAAUUCUUCUCUGAGACUGGUCCAGGUUUCAUAUCCUCGUUGUAUAGCUCAUAAAUAUAUGUACUAACAGCAAUUCCAGGGUGUUUGGGAGUUCCAGUUUUGUUCAAAACAUGCCUGAUCAAAUUGCUGUUGUAAGUAUUGGCAUUUUCUAUCGUUGCAUCUGGCUCAUUAGAAUCACCUUUUGAUGGCCAGCCAGACUCGGUCACCAGGACAGGAAUGUUGGUGUAGUUUAAAAAAGCCAUAGCAAAGUAUGCAGCAUCAACCAUAGCAUCAAAGACAUUGGAAUAGUGGACUAGUGUAUUUGCAUCAACAGCUUCUUUGUUUGGAGCAAGAGGCUUGAGGAGUGCAUAAUCUAAUGGAAUCACGCCAUUUGAUUGCAUGUAGUCAUAGUAAGGGUAUAUAUUGAGCAUAAGGUAUGAGCCGGUCGACUGCAAGAAAUUGAGCAUGGGAACCAAAACAGGGUUCCAUGAGCGGUUAAAGAAAGCUUGGGAAGGUGGGAAGGAGUCAAGGAUGAUGGAGGAAGAAAUGGGUGUUGAAACUUUGAUUUGGCGAUCUAGAUUGGACGCCACAAGGGCAGAGUGAACGAACUUCAGGGCAUUGACAAGGACUGGUGCUGCAUUAGGAAGGGCAGUGAGAACCUCGGAACCCACUGAAAUGGCUGUAAUAUUGGUGGCUGGAUAAUGAGCAACAACAUUGUGGGAGACCCAAUUAGCUGCAGUGGAAUUUGACUGACCUAUGCCCAAGAUCUGUUCAUUAGGCACAGAGACCAUAACCUGAAUGCCAGUAUUUGCAAGGGCAACUAACAUCCCACGGUCGGCAGUAUAGAGUCGGACAUGCCUUAUCUGCUGGGCUUUGAGGAGUGCUACCACUUGAGUUGGGUGGGGCAUGUCAGAGAGGUCUGUUCCAAUAUUAACACCGACAAAUGGUGCUUCAUCAGCUGCUGCAACAACAAAAACAGCUAAAAGCAUGAGUAUAAACACCUCAGCCAUAGAUUCAAUCUUCAAAAACAUCCUCUCCCAAGAAUCUGAGAAAGAAAAAAAAAAAAACAAUAAUGUAGAGAGAGAGAGUGAGUGAGUGAGAAUAAGUAACCAGUAAAAGAAGGUGGGGCAAAGAUAUUAGAAAUAUAGCAAAUGUAAGGAGAGAGAGAGAGAGUAAAUGAAUGGAUUCCACUGAUCACGUGGAAAGAUUG